GGUGCCAUGGUGAACUAGCUAGCAGUCUGGACUUUGAAUCCAGCUAUCCGAGUUCAAGUUUCGGUGGGACCU
rnacentral:tRNA from 1 species